rnacentral:rRNA from 1 species
CCUACGGGUGGCAGCAGUGAGGAAUAUUGGUCAAUGGACGAGAGUCUGAACCAGCCAAGUAGCGUGAAGGAUGACUGCCCUAUGGGUUGUAAACUUCUUUUAUAAAGGAAUAAAACGAGGCACGUGUGCCUUUUUUCAUGUACUUUAUGAAUAAGGAUCGGCUAACUCUGUGCCCGCAGCUGCGGUAUUACGGAGGAUCCGAGCGUUAUCCGGAUUUAUUGGGUUUAAAGGGAGCGUAGAUGGGUUGUUAUGUCAGUUGUGAAAGUUUGCGGCUCAACCGUAAAAUUGCAAUUGAUACUGGCGGUCUUGAGUGCAGUUGGGGUAGGCGGAAUUCAUGGUGUAGCGGUGAAAUGCUUAGAUAUCACGAAGAACCCCGAUUGCGAAGGCAGCUUACUAAACUGUGACUGACAUUGAUGCUCGAAAGUGUGGGUAUCAAACAGGAUUAGAUACCCUGGUAGUC